rnacentral:rRNA from 1 species
AGAGUUUGAUCAUGGCUCAGAACGAACGCUGGCGGCGUGCCUAACACAUGCAAGUCGAGCGCGAAUGGAGCAAUCCUAGUAGAGCGGCGCACGGGUGAGUAACACGUGGGUAAUCUGCCUGAAAGCCCGGGACAACCUGCCGAAAGGCUGGCUAAUACCGGAUAAGCCCACAGGGUCUUCGGACCCCGAGGGAAAAGAUGGCCUCUGCAUGCAAGCUAUCACUUCCAGAUGAGCCCGCGACCCAUCAGCUAGUUGGCGGGGUAAUGGCCCACCAAGGCAACGACGGGUAGCUGGUCUGAGAGGACGAUCAGCCACACUGGAACUGAGACACGGUCCAGACUCCUACGGGAGGCAGCAGUGGGGAAUUUUGCGCAAUGGGCGAAAGCCUGACGCAGCAACGCCGCGUGUGUGAUGAAGGUCUUCGGAUCGUAAAGCACUUUCGACUGGGACGAAAACCCGCUGGCUAACAUCCAGCGGCCUGACGGUACCGGGAGAAGAAGCACCGGCUAACUCUGUGCCAGCAGCCGCGGUAAUACAGAGGGUGCAAGCGUUGUUCGGAAUUAUUGGGCGUAAAGCGCGUGUAGGCGGCUUUGCAAGUCGGGUGUGAAAGCCCUCGGCUCAACCGAGGAAGUGCGCCCGAAACUGCAUGGCUCGAGUCCCGGAGAGGAUGGCGGAAUUCCCGAAGUAGAGGUGAAAUUCGUAGAUAUCGGGAGGAACACCGGUGGCGAAGGCGGCCAUCUGGACGGACACUGACGCUGAGACGCGAAAGCGUGGGUAGCAAACAGGAUUAGAUACCCUAGUAGUCC